GAUGAACGCUGGCGGCGUGCCUAAUACAUGCAAGUCGAGCGAACAGACGAGGAGCUUGCUCCUCUGACGUUAGCGGCGGACGGGUGAGUAACACGUGGAUAACCUACCUAUAAGACUGGGAUAACUUCGGGAAACCGGAGCUAAUACCGGAUAAUAUAUUGAACCGCAUGGUUCAAUAGUGAAAGACGGUUUUGCUGUCACUUAUAGAUGGAUCCGCGCCGCAUUAGCUAGUUGGUAAGGUAACGGCUUACCAAGGCAACGAUGCGUAGCCGACCUGAGAGGGUGAUCGGCCACACUGGAACUGAGACACGGUCCAGACUCCUACGGGAGGCAGCAGUAGGGAAUCUGCCGCAAUGGGCGAAAGCCUGACGGAGCAACGCCGCGUGAAUGAUGAAGGUCUUCGGAUCGUAAAACUCUGUUAUUAGGGAAGAACAAAUGUGUAAGUAACUAUGCACGUCUUGACGGUACCUAAUCAGAAAGCCACGGCUAACUACGUG
rnacentral:rRNA from 1 species